rnacentral:rRNA from 1 species
UAACCUGCCCAAGAGAUCGGGAUAACACCUGGAAACAGAUGCUAAUACCGGAUAACAACAGAUGAUGCCUAUCAACUGUUUAAAAGAUGGUUCUGCUAUCACUCUUGGAUGGACCUGCGGUGCAUUAGCUAGUUGGUAGGGUAACGGCCUACCAAGGCGAUGAUGCAUAGCCGAGUUGAGANACUGAUCGGCCACAUUGGGACUGAGACACGGCCCAAACUCCUACGGGAGGCAGCAGGC